UUUAUCGGCCAUACCACCCCGAAUGUGCUGGAUCUCAUCUGAUCUUGGAAGCUAAGAGGGUGGGGCCUGGUUAGUACUUGAAUCAGAGGAAAGUAUUU
rnacentral:rRNA from 1 species